rnacentral:rRNA from 1 species
UACGAGGGGUGCAAACGUUAUUCGGAAUCACUGGGCGUAAAGGGUGUGUAGACGGCAAAACAAGUCAAUUAUUAAAUCUCCUAGCUUAACUAGGAAUCUGUGAUUGAAACUGUUUAGCUUGAGGAUGGAAGAGAGAAGCGGAAUUCUCGGAGUAGCGGUAAAAUGCGUAGAUCUCGAGAGGAACACCGAUGGCGAAGGCAGCUUCUUGGUCCAUUUCUGACGUUGAGGCACGAAAGCGUGGGGAGCAAACAGG